CUGACCGUCACGCGCAGCCCCGCCCCCGCAGCCUUGUCGCUCCUGCUGAGGCGGUAACCGCUCUUCGUCGGCUCUUACCGGUUGGCUGGGCCAGCUGCGCCGCGGCUCACAGCUGACGAUGGGGGAUCCCAGCAAGCAGGACAUCUUGACCAUCUUCAAGCGCCUCCGCUCGGUGCCCACUAACAAGGUGUGUUUUGAUUGUGGUGCCAAAAAUCCCAGCUGGGCAAGCAUAACCUAUGGAGUGUUCCUUUGCAUUGAUUGCUCAGGGUCCCACCGGUCACUUGGUGUUCACUUGAGUUUUAUUCGAUCUACAGAGUUGGAUUCUAACUGGUCAUGGUUUCAGUUGCGUUGCAUGCAAGUUGGAGGAAACGCUAAUGCAUCUUCCUUUUUUCAUCAACAUGGGUGUUCCACCAACGACACCAAUGCCAAGUACAACAGUCGUGCUGCUCAGCUCUAUAGGGAGAAAAUCAAAUCGCUCGCCUCUCAAGCAACACGGAAGCAUGGCACUGAUCUGUGGCUUGAUAGUUGUGUGGUUCCACCUUUGUCCCCUCCACCAAAGGAGGAAGAUUUUUUUGCCUCUCACGUUUCUCCUGAGGUGAGUGACACAGCGUGGGCAUCAGCAAUAGCAGAACCAUCUUCUUUAACAUCAAGGCCUGUGGAAACCACUUUGGAAAAUAAUGAAGGUGGACAAGAGCAAGGACCAAGUGUGGAAGGUCUUAAUGUACCAACAAAGGCUACUUUAGAGGUUUCCUCUAUCAUAAAAAAGAAACCAAAUCAAGCUAAAAAAGGCCUUGGAGCCAAAAAAGGAAGUUUGGGAGCUCAGAAACUGGCAAAUACAUGCUUUAAUGAAAUUGAAAAACAAGCUCAAGCUGCGGAUAAAAUGAAGGAGCAGGAAGACCUGGCCAAGGCGGCACCUAAAGAAGAAUCAAUUGUUUCAUCAUUACGAUUAGCCUAUAAGGAUCUUGAAAUUCAAAUGAAGAAAGAUGAAAAGAUGAACAUUAGUGGCAAAAAAAAUGUUGACUCAGACAGACUCGGCAUGGGAUUUGGAAAUUGCAGAAGUGGUAUUUCACAUUCAGUGACUUCAGAUAUGCAGACCAUAGAGCAGGAAUCACCCAUCAUGGCAAAACCAAGAAGAAAGUAUAAUGAUGACAGUGACGAUUCAUAUUUUACUUCCAGCUCAAGGUACUUUGACGAGCCAGUGGAGUUAAGGAGCAGUUCUUUCUCUAGCUGGGAUGACAGUUCAGAUUCCUAUUGGAAAAAAGAGACCAGCAAAGAUACUGAAACAGUUCUGAAAACUACAGGCUAUUCAGACGGACCUACUGCUCGCCGCAAGCCAGAUUAUGAGCCAGUUGAAAAUACAGAUGAGGCCCAGAAGAAGUUUGGCAAUGUCAAGGCCAUUUCUUCAGAUAUGUAUUUUGGAAGACAAGCCCAAGCUGAUUAUGAGACCAGGGCCCGCCUAGAGAGGCUGUCGGCAAGUUCCUCCAUAAGCUCGGCUGAUCUGUUCGAGGAGCAGAGGAAGCAGGCAGCAGGUAGGGGGCACUGAACAAGAGCUGGUCUCUGUCAUGUCUACGGUAUGAACACAUUUCUUUUUUUUUUUUUUUUUCGAGACAGUCUCGCUGUCGCCCAGGCUAGAGUGCAGUGGCGCGAUCUCGGCUCACUGCAGGCUCCGCCCCCCGGGGAGAAUGGCGUGAGCCCGGGAGGCGGAGCUUGCAGCGAGCGGAGAUCGCAACGCUGCACUCCAGCCUGGGUGACAGAGCGAGACUCCGUCUCAAAAAAAAAAAAAAAAUACAAAAAUUAGCUGGGCAUGGUGGCAUGUGCCUGUAGUUCUAGCUACUCCGGAGGCUGAGGCAGGAGUAUCGCUUGAACCUGGGAGGCGGGGGUUGCAGUGUGCCGAGAUCACGCCGCUGCGCUCGAGCCUGGAGACAGAGCGAGACUCCGUCUCAAAAAAAAAAAAAAAAUUAGCCGGGCGUGGUGGUGGGUGCCUGUAAUCCCAGCUACUCAGGAGGCUGAGGCACAAGAAUUGCUUGAACCUGGGAGGGGGAAGUUGCAGUGGCCGAGAUCACACCACUGCACUCCAGCCUGGGCAAUAGAAUGAGAUUCUGUUUCAAAACCAAAAAAAAAGCAAAAAAAGAAACUAUUCUGCGUGGUGGCUCACCCCUAUAAUCCAGCACUUUGGGAGGCUGAGGAGGACUUAUCGCUUGAGCUCAGGAGUUCCAGACCAGCCUGGGCAACGUGGCAAAACCGUGUCUCUACAAAAAAUACAAAAAUUAGCCAGGCGUGGUGGUGCACGCCUGUAGUCCCAGCUACUCCGGAGGCUAAGGUGGGAGGAUGACUUGAGCCCAGGAGGCAGAGGUUGCAGUGAUCUGAGAUCGUGCCACUACACUCCAGCCUGGGCAAUAGAGCCAGGCCUUGUAUCACAAAAAAAAAAAAAAGGAGGGAGGGAGGGAAGGAAGGAAGGAAGGAAGGAAACAAACAAACAAACAAUCAGUUCUGUGUUCCUUAUCUUGAUUUCCAAAUUUGAAAUGCUUCUGGUGAGGUAAGCUGCUUUCUGGGGGUGUUUCUAGCCCAGGAGCCCUGCGGCCCUUCUUACAGGCACUCUCUUUCACUGUAGCUGAAGGCUUGAGUGGGAAGCGCAUGUAAGUGCCCGCAGCCACCCUGACCUGGCACAGCAGCAGCCCCUGUGGUCACACCCAUGGGACAGGGUCAUUGGAGCUGGGGGGCUGCCAUCAACUGGGCACUGCCUCAGGCAGGCGUGAGGCACUCAGACACCAGAUGACAGAGCGGAGGCCGCUGUGUGAGAGCCAGGAUACAACAAAAAGCUUAAAACCCAGCUUCCCCCUCAGCAUGUUUCCUUCCAGAAAGCCAGUUCUGAUUGUUUGAAUGAGAACACGUCUGCAUGGGAGUGCAGACACCUGCACCCCUUCCUUGUGUGCAUCGUGGGGUCAAGUGGUAGGUUGUUUGUGGGGUCCCUUGACCACUGUCUCCUUUUCUCCUUGCUCCGGCCCAGGGUCUAGGAGUGUGGCCUCGAAAGCACUGCCCUCAGUCUGCGGCAGUCUAGUAUAGUUAUUGCCACGUGUGCUUGUCAGACAGUAUAACUGUGCAGUGGCAUUGCCAACAGAGAUUCAGUUAAAAAACCAGAGUGGCAUGUAUUUAGCAAAUUGGCAUCUGUGACACCUGUCUGAGAAGUAGCCAUUGGAGCAAUUUUUGUUGUUAAACUGGUUGUUUGGCUAGGCACAGUGAUAGACACCUGUAAUCCCAACACUUUGGGAGGCCAAAGUAGGAGGAUUACUUGAGCCCAGGAGUUCCAGACCAGCCUGGACAACAUAGUGGGACCCCCAUCUCUACAAAAAAUUUAAAAAAUAAAAAAAUUAGCUAGGUGCGAUGGCUAACGCCUGUAGUCCCAAUUACUCGGGAGGCUAAGGCAGGAGGAUCACUUGAGCCCGAAAGAUUGAGGCUGCAGUCAGCCGUGAUCACACCACUGUACUCCAGCCUGGGCGACAAAGUGAGUCCCUGUCUCAAACAAACAAACAGUGCCCAAACUUGUUCUUAUAAUCUUGGAAAUACUUUUUCUCUUCAUUUGUCUACACGAAGCAGAGAAAUUAAAACAUGGUAUUCUAUUAAAAAUUCUUAUUUUGGGCCAGGCGCAGUGGCUCUCGCCUGUAACCCCAGCACUUUGGGAGGCUGAGGCAGGUGGAUCACAAGGUCAGGAGAUUGAGACCAUCCUGGCUAACACAGUGAAACCCCGUCUCUACUAAAAAAUACAAAAAAAAAAAAAAAAAAAAAAUUAGCCAGGCAUGGUGGUGGGCACCUGUAGUCCCAGCUACUCGGGAGGCUGAGGCAGGAGAAUGGCGUGAACCUGGGAGGUGGAGCUUGCAGUGAGCUAAGAUCGCGCCACUGCAUUCCAGUCUGGUCGACAGAGUGAGACUGUCUCAAAAAAAAAAAAAAAAAAAUUCUUAUUUUGAGGAGCCUGGGAGUUGUCCUGGAACCUUCCACCUCCCUCGUCACACCAUAGACCCAUAUGAUCGGAGUCUCUCCUGGGUGACUCCAGACCUGAAGCGUGGCUGCAACCCCCUGCUUGGUCCUCCUGCCUCCAGUCUUGGCUUGCUCACCCCUCUCCUCACUCCUCCCACAGGGAUCUUUCAAAACACAGUCAUCCAUGCUGAAAAUCCUGCCCUCAGCUUGAAGCACAGCUCCCCACCCAAUGCCCACCUCCAGGACCAUGGUUCCCAUUGGCCUUUCCAGCCUCAUUUCUCAUGAUUCACUGUUGUGGCUCACUCCAGCUGUGUUGAGCCUGUGGAGCCCCCAGCCCAGAAUGCUCUUCUUCUCCAUUCCCCCAGACAGCCCCCCAGACUGUAUUUACCCGGGGGCCCCCUGCACCACUCUUGUGCCUUACACUGAGGGCAAGACCGUGCGAAGACCGUCUCCCCCAGUGGACCGUCAGUUCUCAUUUCUGUGUCCUUGGCACCAACAGAGCCUGGCAGAGGAAGCCCUCUGCAGGUAUUUGAGGAUGAAUGGGUGGAGGGGUGUGAAUGACCCCAGGAGCUUGCUGAGCCUGAGCACCUGCCCACCGGUCAACAUUAGGCUGGAACACACCUCCCCCUACCUCCCAUGUCCCAUGGCCAGUGCCAGGCUGCAGUGGCGAUGUGUUCUGCCUCCAGCCCAAGCCUUAAGAGCUGCGUGCAUGUUGCCAUGUUUCUUUCCCUGUCAUAGUAGGCAAGGAAGCUGGAAUUAAGAGGUGGCCCCAUGGGCUUGGACCGCAAGUGACUGUGAUGCACAGAACCCCCUGCCCACCUGCACUGGGCACAGCGAACAUCAGUUGUGGGUGGUUGUCAGCUCAGAGUCACCUGGCCUGUCCUGACUCAUCCAGGGCAUUUGCCCCAACCACAGACCACUGUGUAGCUCAGUGUCCCCUCUGUCUCAGAGAGGGGAGCCGCUGUCUUCUUCCUAGCUGCUGAAGCAGAAACUUGGGAAACGUCCUUAAUCUGCCUGCCUCCCAGCCUGCCUUGGCCAGUCAGUCAGUGUGCCUCUUGACACCUGCCUCCUGAGGACGCUCAGCCUGUUCCCUCCCGAUCCCCACUGCCGCCUGCUCAGGCUCAGCCAUCUCCCAGCUGUCCACCUGAGUUUGCUCUGUGUCCCCUCCAGAUGACACAGGUCACACUUUAGUGAUGUUACCAGUUAAUUGUCUGCUUUUCCCAGUAGGUGGUGAGCUGUGGAAAAGCAGGUCUGUGGCGGUGUCCUCAGUACACACUGUGGGUGUUCUGGGAACAGAUAGGGAGGAGAGAUUCCCUGGGUCAAGGAUGCUCUUCCUGAGCAGGUGGCUGGAGCUGUCAUUUCCUGGAGCUCAUUGUGUAACCGGAGCACACUAGGGCUGUCUUUGACCAUGGCCACCUGGCCCCUCCAGCCUGCCCAGGCAGCCCUCAGAGGAGACACAGCACCCCAGUCCCGUCACUGUGUUGGAAUUCCACUCUGUGGAAUUGGUGAAGGCCUGCAAGAUUUUACACAGUCAGCUGGAGGUGGAGAUGGGAGGACCCGCAUCUGUGGUGGGCAUGGGAACAGUGCUGUGGGCAAAUGCAGUGUCUCUUCCAAGGGGCACAUUGCAGGGUAACUUGUCAGUUCUGUUUUGUUCUCAGAGAGGGACUUGACCAAGGCUUUCUGUUUUGUUUUUGUUUUUGAGAUGGGGUCUCGCUCUGUCACCCAGGCUGGAGUAGGGUGGCACAAUCUUGGCUCACUGCAACCUCCACCUCCCAGGUUCAAGUGAUUCUCCUGCCUCAGCCUCCC